UGUUUCAAUCAAAAGUCUUCCAAAAGCUGUACCCUGCCCCUCCCAAACGGGAGAAGGAACUGAGCCCACCAGGCACAGUAGAUGCUCUUUCCAGAAAACCCCACGUGAAAGGAAAAGCCUCUCAACGGGAGACGGCCACUGGAGAUGCAGGAAGGAAGCCGAUCGCUGCCAAUCCAGGCAGGCGGAUGUACACAGUCCUGCCUCCCCCCCGCUGACCACAAGACAGAUUCAGAGAAAUCCGUCACACUCCCCCAGUUAGAAAGCGUAAAUAGUGCAGACGACCCAGCUGACAGGAUAACAGACCGUGAUAGCGAUGAGGAACCAGUCCAAGAUAAAGAGGAGGAAGAAGAACCGAAAAGAAGAAGGAAGAGAAGGAAAAGGAAACCGGACCGACACCAGGACUCCGGCAAGGACGGAGCAGCCGGCGUGAGUGAGUCCGGCCCGGGUCGGAGUCGGGCCCCCGAGGACGAGGGCGGGGAGAACAUGAGCAGGAACAAGAAGAGGAAGCUGAAGAAGAAACGGCACAAAGAGAAGCUGCUCGCCAUGGGUCUGAUGCCGCGGGCCGCUGCACUGGAGUUCACCUACCGGAAGGCUGAGGAGGAGGAGGAGGAGGAGGAGGAAGAUAACGAGACGAGAGCCGCUGAGGUGUCAGACUUCCUGAGGACAACAAUGGAAACCUAUAUGUCAGAUCCCUCUUUGCGCUCGGACCAGCGCCCCCUCCUGUGCGGGACCGUGAACAACCUUUUGAGCCGCGUGGCCGGCGGAUGCUGCCCCCCCUCCGCCCUCCAGCAGCUCUACGCCCUCAAGGCCCUGGUUCAGCGGCGACAGCCGCACAACCUGGAAAAGGCCCUGGUGGAGCUCCUCGGCACCUCUCCUCUGCCCUCAGGUCAGCGCUCCCGAAACAUCCCAGAAUUCCAAUCCAGCGGGGGGAGGGGUCACGGAAAGGCGACUCGGCGCGUUCUUAGCGCCGCUCCGUGCUCGUGUCCCGCUUCCAUCCCCGUCCGUCCGUCCAUGCCGCCGUGCGUGCCCGUACUUUACCUCUUUUUAGCCUCGUUUUUCGGCCGUGCACGUGAGUCUGUGCCGCGUGUUUGCAUGGUCUGCAGGCUGGCUGCGUAA
ensembl:lncRNA